GGGCUCCACCUCUCAGGGGCGGGGCUCCACCUCUCAGGGGCGGGGUCCCACCUCUCAGGGGCGGGGCUCCGCCAUUUGUGGGCGGUGGGGGGUCGGCGCUGUCCGGUGGGUUGUUCGGUGCCGGUGGCGCCUGUCUGAUACACCCUUCCCCCCCUCCGCCCCGCCUUGGGUGCGCCUCGUGCCUACCUGGGGUGUCCGGUGCGAGGCGCAGCGCUGUGGGUUUGCCCUGUGUUGUGCCGGCUGCCGUUGUUGGCGCGCGGUGCUGCGUGCCCGGCGUUUGCCCUGGGGCGGGAAGCCGGGGGCUGCCUGGGCGCGGGCGGACAGGCCGAGGGUGAAACUGAGCUUUAAGAGUGAUAAAAUACACCGCGUGUAAACCGCAGAGGGGUUUGCCGCACAUUUUUUGUGACUUGCUUUCCCAACCCAUACUCGGGUGUUCUACUGUGUUUUAAAGGAGGUGUGUUUCUCCUUAAACUCGGCCGUGGCGCCCGUGCAGCCUUAGGGUAGCCCCGCAUGCCGUGGUGCAGAGUAACGCCAAUUUUCGAAGGACACUGUGCUGGCAGGAAUCGGACGGAAUAGGCAGCAGGAGUUGGCUGCACUCUGUUAAGUCACCCCUUUCCAUCUGAAGAAGCUGGUCAGUGCAGAGAGCGUUGCAACUCCUUUCUAUGAGAAGGAGAGGUGAAUUGUGGAAUGGCACAGUUUGUAAUGCAAGCCUGUCUAUUUUCUGGGAAGUCCUCCAUGUUGGUGAGUUUUGGUGUUUAUCCUCAGUGAAGUGCCUGACGCCCAGCUGGUUUCACCCCAUCUCCAGUGUACCAGUAGUGUCUGCACAGGGAUCGCUUCACUCUCAGAUUCACAAAUCGUUCCCAGUGCAGGUGGGAACCUCUGCAUGGCAAGUAUAAGCCUAUUAAGAGAAAUUUCAGCUCCAUGAUUUCAGCCACCGUGCGAAGACCCCUUCCUUGAAAGUUUAAUCCACAGCUCCUGCCUCCUGUCCAAAAGCCCUCAGUUCACAGCCUGAAGUUCCCUGAAGCCCAUGUAUCAAUCAGAAGAUGCCAAUAAUGUUUCUAGGCAGGAAAAAAAGAUGUUUAGUUAUGUGCUGCAUGUACUGUGGCCGAGAGAUGGAGACGUUGGCAAACAGCACAAGGGAGAGGAGUGCAGACCAGAGGCAGGGGUGGGUGGAUGGCCGGGGAGCUGAGUCACGAGACCAAGCACUGAGAGAGAGGGCAGAGAAUGAGAAUCAACCCGCUGUGUCAGAGCCAUGCAGAGGGCAAAAGAGAAAAAGGCUGGAGAUGCACAGGGGAGAACUUUCUGUGACCAAAAUUGGGAGAAACACAAAAACCAGAGGUGUGUAUUGCAAAGACCAGGGGACAGGCAUGAUCCUCAACACUUUUUAAGGGUGGUAUAUGCGUCAUGCUGGGACAGGUUGCCACCUGUCAGUGGCUCACUUGUGCCCAAGCCUUGUGUUGUCCCAGAUGCCAGCCUCCAACUGACUCAACUGACCGCUGCCAAGUGCCUCCUCAACACCUGUCUCAAGCAUCCGUGCCUGGUGGCAUCCUCUUGGCUGCUGGUGGUGUGGGGUGUCCUGGGCUGGAGUGGUGGCAGGGCACUCCUGCCCAGGCUGUGCAGCCAGGCAGAAUCCCUGGCCCAAAGGAGCCCUCCAGGAGGACACAUAUCGUGCCACAUCAGUGGUCCCGGCUCACCUGUACCUUUACAGGUGUACUUGGGACAUGAAGCUAUGUGUGUGGGGGUCUGCCUGUGGUCUUGACACACUGGAAAUCCACCCCUGACUUGUAAGCCUAAUGCAGUAGUAUUUGGUUUGGCCAAGAGGUGUCCUGGUGUCAGCAUGUGAACUCUAUUAUGUGUGAAAACAUAUCAUGUCUCCACUAGUUGUGAAAAUAUACAUUUCUAGAACCUGCCGGGGUCAGUGUGAGGGCUGUUAAAAGUGGGUGUUCAUAUAUUCAAGUGGAGCACCACUGCACGCACAGGUGGCUGCUGCCCUGCUGUAAAGAGGGGACAGGUAACUAAAAAACAAAGUUGCAGAGAAGAAACACCUGGUGAAACUGGUUAGGAUUGUUGAAGGGAAUGGUGAAAAUAAAUUGCUAUUAACUAGAGCAAAGUUGGAGUGUGCAGGGACAGCUGAAGGAGAGAGAAGCUAAAGUCCAGGAUAGAAUAGACCCAAACCCAGAGACUUCAUGAAAAGAGAAGCCAUAGGCAGGAGGAUAUGGGGUUCUUGAAUAGGGUUUAAAGGGCUGUUAUUUAAACCCUGCAAAAUGUGUAGCAAUGGUGAGAAAAAUAAGACAUAAAAUACUGUAUAAACAUGUAUUGUUUCUUUUAGUUUUAAUUGUGUAUUAAGCUAGGGUUGUUUUGUGGUUUGGUUUGUUGUUUUGAUUUGUUUCAUUUUUGAGGAACCUUGUGAAGACAGUGUUUCUGGUUGCUUAAAUAUUGCAUGCUCCUGAAGACUUGAGUUGUGAAAUCAGAGCAUCUAAAAAGUUAGAGUUCUGGGGAAAAAGUACAGUUGGAGUGUCAGCAGUGGUCCUAGGGUAUCCGUGUUACUCCUCAAUAAAAACAUGAUGUGGUAAGAAGGAGAA